AGUGAACGCUGGCGGUAGGCCUAACACAUGCAAGUCGGACGAGUGGCGGACGGGUGAGGAAUGUAUCGGGAUCUGCCCGAUGGAGGGGGAUAACUACUGGAAACGGUCGCUAAUACCGCAUACCAUUGGAUGAACCCAUGUGGGAUUAGCUUGUAGGUGGGGUAAAGGCUCACCUAGGCGACGAUCCGUAGCUGGUCUGAGAGGAUGAUCAGCCACACUGGGACUGAGACACGGCCCAGACUCCUACGGGAGGCAGCAGUGGGGAAUAUUGGACAAGGGGCGCAAGCCUGAUCCAGCCAUGCCGCGUGGAUGAAGAAGGCCUUCGGGUUGUAAAGUCCUUUUGUUCGGAAAGCGUUACCGAAAGAAUAAGCACCGGCUAACUCCGUGCCAGCAGCCGCGGUAAUAC
rnacentral:rRNA from 1 species